rnacentral:rRNA from 1 species
AUGAAGAACUUGAAAGAUGAAAGAACCAAGAUUUUUCCCUCAACUACGAAGGGAGGUAAGGAACUGCCAUCUAGCUCUGCACUUGAUUCACCUUCUGUUAUGAGUAAAUUUGCGACACCUACUCUUGCUAUUGAUUCUGAUAUGUCGCAUGUUAUUGAUGAUGCCACUUCUGCUAUGCAUGAUGCUUAUGAUGAAACUACUUAUAUGCAUGAUAAUACUGUGCCACUAGGUGAAUUUCUUGAUGAACAACUUGCUAGGAUUAGAGAGAAUGAAAUUAUUGAAACUGAUAAUAUUGAUGAAAGUGAUGAUGAAGAUUCUCCCCCUAGAUAUGAAAUGCCUGAUGUACCUGAGGGUUAUGUUAUGGAUGAAGAAACUGCUAGAGACUUUUUUGCUUGCAAAGAUAGAUAUGAUCUUAAGAAACUGUUAGUUAAGCUGAAAGAAAAGUCUUUGAAUGCUAGAAUGAAAUAUGACCCUACUUUUUCUACUUCACCUAUCUGUAUUUCUGAUAAAGAUUAUGAUUUCUCUGUCGAUCUUGAGUUAAUUACUUUGGUUGAAUCUGAUCCUUUUUAUGGCUAUGAAUCUGAAAUUUUUGUGGCACAUCUUACUAAAUUAAAUGAUAUAGCCACCCUGUUCACUAAUGAGGAAAAAAAUUGUUACUACUAUAUCCUUAAGUUAUUUCCGUUCUCACUAAAGGGUGAUGUUAAAACAUGGUUUAAUUCUCUUGAUCCUGGCUGUGUGCGUAGUCCCCAUGAUAUGAUUUAUUAUUUCUCUGCUAAAUAUUUCCCCGCUUACAACAAACAAGCUACCUUAAGGGAAAUAUAUAAUUUUGUGCAAAUUGAAGAAGAGAGUCUCCCACAAGCUUGGGGGAGGCUUCUCCGAUUACUUAAUGCUUUGCCUGAUCAUCCUCUCAAGAAAAAUUAA